CCCAUUAUCACUUGCUUUCAACGGCAGUAUUUCAUAAGACUGCAUGUUUAGGGAGGAAUGCACUGUUGCUUGGUAUAUCCAGUUUGGUUAAAGGAGGAAUGCAUUAAAAAUGCACCGCCACCGGUUUGUGUCAUGUGACUCAAAACAGAACUAAUAAAAAUGUGAAAUUUGAGGAAAGCAGUUAUUUCCAUUUAUCGAGGGACUUACAACUUCACCUGUGUGUGAACAAAAUGGAUUGGGUGGUCUAUUUGACAGCUACCAAGAUGAGUAGAAAAACACUGACAAUUGCAUUGUUAAGUUUAGUGUUUUGUAGCGCAUCAGCUGAGUCAGCAAACUCACCUACAACUGAAUCUAUGACUGUCACAUCAUACUCACCUGCACAAACGACACAAUUCUGCUUACAACUGACACAACAGCAUAUACAAUACUGUUCAACAACAACUGAAACUCUGUUUACAACCACUGCCAAACCAACACAAACACCUGAAUCAACAAACUCACCUAUAACUGCAACAACUGAAUCUACGACUGUUAGAACAAACACAGCUACAACUAAAACUCGGCUUACAACUACAAGCCUUCCUACAGAAAAAACAACACAACUCACAACUGAGCAAUCAACUACAUCUGAACAAAGCACCACAAUGCAGUCAGCAAAUUCAUCCCUACCUACAACAAGUACAGCUCAAUCUACAACUGAGGUUACAACAAACUCACCUACAACUGCAACUCUGCUUACAACUCCAGGCCCUCCUACAGAAACAACAACAACACAACUUACAUCUACAACUGAACUAACAACCACAACUGCUUCAUCAUCUACACCUGAACCAACAACCACAACUGUUUUAACAUCUACGACAGAACAAUCAACUACAUCUGAACACAGCACCACAACGCAGACGGCAACAACAUCCCUAUCUACAACAAGUACAGCCCCAUCUACAACUGAGGUUACAACAAACUCACCUACAACUGCAACUUUGCUUACAACUCCAGGCCCUCCUACAGAAACAACAACAACACAACUUACAUCUACGGCUGAACCAAUAAUCACAACUGUUUUAACAUCUACAACAGAACAAUCAACUACAUCAGAACAAAGCACCACAACACAGAUGGCAACAAUAUCCCUACUUACAACAAGUACAGCUGAAUCUACAACUGAGGUUACAACAAACUCACCUACAACUGCAACUCUGCUUACAACUCCAGGCCCUCCUACAGAAACAACAACAACACAACUUACAUCUACAACUGAACUAACAACCACAACUGCUUCAACAUCUACAACUGAACAAUCAGCUACAUCUGAACAAAGCACCCCAAUGCAGACAACAACAUCAUCCCUACCUACAACAAGUACAGCUCAAUCUACAACCCUGGUUACAAAAAACUCGCCUACAACUACAUCGCAGGUUACAACUUCAGCCCCUCCUACAGAAACAACAACACAACUUACAUCUUCUGCUGAACCAACAACCACAACUGUUUUAUCAUCUACAAAUGAACCAACAACCACAACUGAUUCAUCAUAUACAACUGUACUAACAACCACAACUGCUUCAACAUCUACAACUGAACAAUCAACUACAUCUGAACACAGCACCACAACGCAGGCGGCAACAACAUCCCUAUCUACAACAAGUACAGCUCAAUCUACAACUGAGAUUACAACAAACUCACCUACAACUGCAACUCUUCUUUCAACUCCAGGCCCUCCAACAGAGACAACGCAACUUACAUCUACUUCUGAACCAACAACCACAACUGCUUCAACAUCUAAAACUGAACAGUCAACUACAUCUGAACAAAGCACAACAACAGAGACAGCAACAACAUCACCACCACCUACCACAAGUUCAGCACAAUCGACAACUGAGGUUACAACAAACUCACCUACAACUGCAACUCUUCUUACAACUCCAGGCCCUCCAGCAGAGACAAUGCAACUUACAUCUACUGCUGAACCAAAAACCACAACUGCUUCAACAUCUAAAACUGAACAGUCAACUACAUCUGAACAAAGCACCCCAAUGCAGACAACAACAUCAUCCCUACCUACAACAAGUACAGCUCAAUCUACAACCCUGGUUACAACAAACUCACCUACAACUACACCUCGGGUUACAACUAUAGCCCCUCCUACAGAAACAACACAACUUACAUCUACAGCUGAACCAACAACCACAACUGCUUCAUCAUCUACAAAUGAACUAAUAACCACAACUGCUUCAUCAUCUACAACUGAACAAUCAACUACAUCUGAAAAAAGCACCACAAUGCAGACAGUAAAAACAUCCCUACCUACAAGUACAGCUCAAUCUACAACUGAGGUAACAACAAACUCACCUACAACUGCAUCUCUGCUUACAACUACAGCCCCUCCUAUAGAAACAACAACAACACAAUUUACAUCUGCGGUUGAACCAACAACCACAACUGUUUUAACAUCUACAACUCAACCAACAACCACAACUCCGUCAACGUCUACAACUGAACAAUCAACUACAUCUGAACAAAGCACCACAAUGCAGACAGCAACAACUACUCUACCUACAACAAAUACAGCUCAAUCUACAACCCUGGUUACAACAAACUCAGCUAUACCUACAUCUCAGGUUACAACUACAGCCCCUUCAACAGAAACAACAGAAACACAACUUACAUCUACGGCUGAACCAACAACCACAACUUUUUUAACAUCUACAACUGAACCAAUAACCACAACUGUUUUAAUAUCUACAACAGAACAAUCAACUACAUCAGAACAAAGCACCACAACACAGAUAGGAACAAAAUCCCAACCUACAACAAGUAUAGCUCAAUCUACAACUGAGGUUUCAACAAACUCACCAAGAACUACAUUUCAAGUUACAACUACAGGCCCUCCUAAAGAAACAACAACAACAAAACUUACAUCUAUUGCUGAACCAACAACCACAAUUGCUGCAACAUCUACAACUGAACAAUCAACAACAUCUGAACACAGCACCACAAUGCAGACAGCAACAACAUCCAUACCUACAACAAGUACAGCUCAAUCUACAACUGAGGUUACAACAAACUCACCUACAACUGCAACUCUGUUUACAACUACAGCCCCUCCUACAGAAACAACAACCACACAACUUACAUCUACAGCUGAACCAACAACCACAACUGCGUCAACAUCUACAACUGAAAAAUCAACUAUACCCGAACAAAGCACCACAACACAGACAGCAACAACAUCCCUACAUACAACAAGUACAGCUCAAUCUACAACCCUGAUUUCAACAAACUCAGCUACACCUACAUCUCGGGUUACAAUUACAGCCCCUCCUACAGAAACAACAACAACACAACUUACAUCUACAGCUGAACCAACAACCAUAACUGUUUUAACAUCUACGGCUGAACCAACAACCACAACUGUUUUAACAUCUACAACAAAACAAUCAAUUACAUCCCAACACAGCACCACAACACAGACAGCAACAACCACCACCACAACAUCUAAUGUCAAUCCGAAUACAACAGCAUCAACAGCAACCACAACAUCUACUGUCAAUCCUAAUACAACAGCAUCAACAGCAACCACAACAUCUACUGUCAAUCCUAUUACAAUAGCAACAACAACCACAACAUCUACUGUCAAUCCUAAUACAACAGCAUCAACAGCAACCACAACAUCUACUGCCAAUCCUAUUACAACAACAGCAACAGCAACAACAACAACCACAACAUCUAUUGUCAAUCCUAAUACAACAGCAUCACCAGCAACCACAACAUCUACUGCCAAUCUUAAUACAACAGCAUCAACAGCAACCACAACAUCUACUGUCAAUCCUAAUACAACAGCAUCACCAACAACCACAACAUCUACUGCCAAUCCUAAUACAACAGCAUCAACAACAACCACAACAUCUAUUGUCAAUCCUAUUACAACAGCAACAACAACAACCACAGCAUCUACUGCCAAUCCUAAUACAACAGUAUCAUCAACAACAGCAACCACAACAUCUACUGCCAAGCCUAAUACAACAGCAUCAACAGCAACCACAACAUCUACUGUCAAUCCUAAUACAACAGCACCAACAGCAACCACAACAACAACCACAACAUCUACUGCCAAACCUAAUACAACUGUAACAACAACACCCACAACCACAACAACAACAACAACAACAACAAAAACAACAACAACAACAACAACAUCUACUGCCAAUCCUAAAACAACAGCAACAACAACCACAAUAACAACAGCAGCAACCACAACAGCAGCACCAGCACGUCCUCAGCCAACUGUUGCCAUACAGAUUGUCAUUAUAGAGGUGUUUGUUCCAGCACUGAAAGACCCUCAAACUCCGGAAUUUAAAAGCCUAGCCACAAAAGUAGAGACUAUGUUUGAUGAAGUCUAUAAGAAAAAGUUUGGACCUCGUUUCAUCAGGACCAUCGUGAUUGCUUUCAUAGCUGUUGCCAGGACCCGGGCAGACUCAAACGUACAGGCGGAGGUUAAGUUAGUGUUUAGUGAAGUGUCCACUGAACCAAUCCCCAGCAACACCGACAUUG
ensembl:lncRNA